UCAGUGUGCUUCUCAGGUGCCUACCCUUUCCGAAGCUGGGAAGUCAGGAGACCAGGCAGUGGCAACUGUGCUUCGGAUGGUCAGGCCCCAGGGAUCUGCAGCGUACCAGUUCCUGUCUGUGGACUAUACUGAGAGGAAGUGGAAAGGUCCGGCCCUCAGUCAGAGAGCCGUGUACCGGAGCAUCGUGCCGGAAAAUUAUUGCAGCAUGGCCUCAUUGGCAGGUGAGACUAGGAUGCGGCGUUCAGAGUUGCCUGCAAAGCAGGAAGUUUCUAAAGGAUCGGCGUCAUCUGAUGGGACAUCAG